rnacentral:rRNA from 1 species
AUGUGGCUGGCGGUCCAAUAUCGGCUAUGGACUUCCGACAGAAGAGUGAGGCAUAACCUACAAGAUCAAAUUUCUCAAUGCUUUCUUUGUGACCAAGAGGAGGACACGGUGGACCACAUUUUGCUGCAAUGUGUGUUCUCGAGGCAAGUUUGGUUCACUUGCAUUCUUAGGAUGGGGUUGCCCACGGAGCUUUGCCCAACAUAUGAUUCUAGAUUGGUGCAUUGGUGGUCGGACACUAGAAAGCGUUUUCUUAAGCACUCUAGAAAGGGGUUUGAUUCUUUUGUCAUGCUCAUCUGUUGGACGUUAUGGAAACAAAGGAAUGCGAGGGUGUUUGGUUCGGGCCAGAUCAAGAGUGAACAAGACACGGUAGACACGAUCUUCGACGAGCUGAGGAUGUGGGCCACGACAGGAGCUUUUGGAGAGCAAUGUGUGAUUGAGUAG